UACGUAGGGGGCAAGCGUUGUCCGGAAUCAUUGGGCGUAAAGCGCGUGUAGGCGGCCAGGUAAGUCCGUUCUGAAAGCCCGGGGCUCAACCCCGGGAGGCGGAUGGAUACUGCUUGGCUCGAGUCCGGAAGAGGCGAGUGGAAUUCCCGGUGUAGCGGUGAAAUGCGCAGAUAUCAGGAAGAACACCCGUGGCGAAGGCGGCUCUCUGGGACGGUACUGACGCUGAGACGCGACAGCGUGGGGAGCAAACAGG
rnacentral:rRNA from 1 species